rnacentral:tRNA from 1 species
UAUUUUUUUAGUAUAAAAAGUAUUUUUGGCUUCCAACCAAAGGGUCUAAAUUAUUAGAAAAAAUAA